GAUGAACGCUGGCGGCGUGCCUAAUACAUCCAAUUCGAGCAAAAAGCCAAGAACUUGCUCCCCUGACGUUUGCGGGCGACGGGUGUGUAACACCGUGAUAACCUACCUAUAAUACCUGGAGAACUUUGGGAAACCUGAGCUAAUACCUGAUAAUAUAUUUAACCCCAUUGCUCCAUAGUGGAAGACGGGUUUUUCUUCACUUAUUGGUGGAUUCGCGGCGCAUUAGCUAGUUGGUAAGGUAACGGCGUACCAAGGCAACGAUGCGUAGCAGACCUGAGAGGGUGAUCGGCCACACUGGAACUGAGACACGGUCCAGACUCCUACGGGAGGCAGCAGUAGGGAAUCUUCCGCAAUGGGCGAAAGACUGACGGAGCAACGCCGCGUGAGUGAUGAAGGUCUUCGGAUCGUAAAACUCUGUUAUUAGGGAAGAACAAAUGUGUAAGUAACUAUGCACGUCUUGACGGUACCUAAUCAGAAAGCCACGGCUAACUACGUG
rnacentral:rRNA from 1 species